CAACAUUGUCAUUCUUGUUUCUAAUGAUGUGAUCAAACCAACUGAAUGAAAUAUGAGUCCAUUCAGAAGAGAACACAGGAGAACUGAAUGAUGAUAUGAACAAUCUGAGAGAGAGAAGGAAGAGGAGGAUGAUAAAGAGGAAGGUGAGAGAGUGUUGUUAGAUCGACACACCAGAGGUUUUCCUCAUCAUUUCCUGUGGUGUGAACACAGAGACAGUAUGGGGCAGGUGUAUAACACACACAAACAAUCCUUGUUAGCUUCAGCCUGAGCUUUUCUAAGAAUUUGAGCUCUGUGUAUUUUCUUUAUAGCUUUUCUAAGAAUCUGAGCCCUUGCCGCGAUUUCUUGGAUAGUUAUAUAAAACACCAUUCAAGCAGCACAGCAUCAGCACAGAUCAGAGCUGCGUCGAUGUUUCCUCUUUUCUGCUCAUCACAAGAUACAAAUGGAGUAGAGAAAGAAAAUCACACAUCCAGAAAACUGCUGGAGCCUCAGAAAUCGCAGAUCUCCAGCAGAGAGAAACAUGGAGACACACACCAGUGAUUUACAAGAGAGAAGAGGACAGACACUUGAUAGAUGUGAGAGUAUGGAGAGACUAAGGCCAAACUAUGCUGUUCUUCACGAGUUUCUGCAGUCACUGUGUAAGCGGCCAUCAGACACAAUAAUGAGAAGAUCAUCAGAAAAUGGAAUAUUGGUCCAAUAAUUUUUUUUCUUUAAUGAAAACAUGGUGCAUUAUCCUGCUGAAAGAGCCACUUCCACCUGUGAACACAAAGGUGUUGCCUGGCCUCCAAAAUCCCCAGAUCUCAAUCAAAUUAUGCAUCUGAAGAUGUGCUGAACCAGCCAGUUCAAUCCACGGCAGCUCCACCUUACAGCCUAAAGGACUUCAAAUGUCUUGGUGGUGUCAUUAAUGUCAUUUUCUCCACAGGGAAACUGAUGUUUGAAGAUAACUUAUAAACCUUUAAAGGCAACUAUGAGCUACAAGGCUGAUAUUCGAUGAUAUUUGCUUCAACUUUAUCCAAAUUAUACAGAUUCCUCCAUCUUAAUAUCAGAUCUCAUAUUUCUCCUCACACCGUCUCUGAUCUGAACUAAGAGGCUUUUGAGUUUGCAGUGAAAUCUACUUGCACCAUCUAGUGGUCAAAGAGGGUAACAAAUCUUCUAUGUCUUGAAUUAAAUCUUCAGAAUUGACCAGCAUUCACUAAUUAUGUUCCAAAUACUGAAUGUAAGUUAAUUUAAACCCUUAUUAAUUAGAAGCUAAUUAAAACAACAGUGCUGUGUUUGACAUGGAUCAGUUUAUUACAUCCACUGAACUCCUUACUUAAAAUUGAGUUGAACUUGAUCUCUUUGUUGUGGUGGAUGAACAGAAAGAGCGAAUAAAGCAUUAAAUCAACUGAA